GAGGGGAUAGCUCAGUGGUAGAGAGCAUGUUUAGCAUGCGUGAGAUCCUGGGUUCAAUCCAGUACCUCCA
rnacentral:tRNA from 1 species